rnacentral:rRNA from 1 species
UACGUAGGGUGCAAGCGUUAAUCGGAAUUACUGGGCGUAAAGCGUGCGCAGGCGGUUCGUUGUGUCGGCGGUGAAAGCCCCGGGCUUAACCUGGGGAAUGGCCGUUGAAACUGGCGGAACUGGAGUGUGGCAGAGGGGGGUGGAAUUCCGCGUGUAGCAGUGAAAUGCGUAGAGAUGCGGAGGAACACCGAUGGCGAAGGCAGCCCCCUGGGCUGACACUGACGCUCAGGCACGAAAGCGUGGGGAGCAACAGG